GGGUGACUGCGUACCUUUUGUAUAAUGGGUCAGCGACUUAUAUUCUGUAGCAAGGUUAACCGUAUAGGGGAGCCGUAGGGAAACCGAGUCUUAACUGGGCGAAUAAGUUGCAGGGUAUAGACCCGAAACCCGGUGAUCUAGCCAUGGGCAGGUUGAAGGUUGGGUAACACUAACUGGAGGACCGAACCGACUAAUGUUGAAAAAUUAGCGGAUGACUUGUGGCUGGGGGUGAAAGGCCAAUCAAACCGGGAGAUAGCUGGUUCUCCCCGAAAGCUAUUUAGGUAGCGCCUCGUGAACUCAUCUUCGGGGGUAGAGCACUGUUUCGACUAGGGGGUCAUCCCGACUUACCAACUCGAUGCAAACUACGAAUACCGAAGAAUGUUAUCACGGGAGACACACGGCGGGUGCUAACGUUCGUCGUGAAGAGGGAAACAACCCAGACCGCCAGCUAAGGUCCCAAAGUCAUAGUUAAGUGGGAAACGAAGUGGGAAGGCUCAGACAGCCAGGAUGUUGGCUUAGAAGCAGCCAUCAUUUAAAGAAAGCGUAAUAGCUCACUGGUCGAGUCGGCCUGCGCGGAAGAUGUAACGGGGCUAAACUAUGCACCGAAGCUGCGGCAGCGAUAUUUAGAUAUUGUUGGGUAGGGGAGCGUUCUGUAAGCCUGUGAAGGUGUGCUGUGAGGCAUGCUGGAGGUAUCAGAAGUGCGAAUGCUGACAUAAGUAACGAUAAUGCGGGUGAAAAACCCGCACGCCGGAAGACCAA
rnacentral:rRNA from 1 species